GCCCAGAUGGUGGAAUCGGUAGACACAAGGGAUUUAAAAUCCCUCGGCGUUCGCGCUGUGCGGGUUCAAGUCCCGCUCUGGGUACCA
rnacentral:tRNA from 1 species